UUUGGGGGAUAUUUUAGUAGAAUUGAUGUUUCAAAAAAAAAAAAAAAAUUUAGUAGAAUUGAUAUCGUUAUCUUUAAUAAUAAAGUUGACUUAUGAUCUCUCCUCCUUCUUCCACCUCAGCAUAGAGCAUAAGGCAAUUACUGACACGUGGCCUCCUCUCUUUAACUAUUUUGAAAUGUUUGUCAUUGGAGAUUUGUAACUUGAGCUAACUAUAAUCUGAUUAAUGGAAUGGACUAUUAAAGCUUUAGAAAAGAGGCCCAUAUUUUACAGGGUUUGGUUUGUUUUCCCGGUUGACAUGCAGAGUAUAAUCGGCUUGACUCUUCAGAUCUCACUUCUCCUACCUUUGUCUGUAUAACGGCUUGACUUACCGACUAUCCUCUUUCAGAUACAUUAAUUUUUGCAUUUACGUGUUUAUAAAUGGGAUCGUAGCCUGCGAUUAUCAGACCCACCACUCUUAACAAUGGGCUUCUAUCCGAGGUCUCCCUGAUUCGCGCUUUCGUACCAAAGUCGAGGGAUUCUUCGUCUUUCCAAAUCGAGUGGAUUCUAUCUCCCAAAUACACCGACUUAUGAACCAUAUGGGAUUUUCUAAGUUCGUGGCCUUCCUUCUUAUUUGCGUAUUCAAGGUUGUCGCACCUGUUAGAAUGACAUUCUAAAUCCCUUUUGGAUACGUGACAUGUAUGAUACCUAUAAGCACGUUCUUUGCAUCCAUCCUCUGGUCUGUAAAUACUGCAUAUUUGGACAUUUCAAUUGCCUUCAUACAGAUUUUCAAAGGACACCACUCUCUUUUUGCUCAAAGCUUAUUUUAUAACUGUUGCAUUGAAUGUUGAUGCAAAGCUGCCAACGAUGUCGCUUAUCGCUUCAGACUUCAGCUUCUUGCCCGGUGUGAAAGAGCUCCAUUGGUCUCAACAACGAGAACACCACAGGUUGCCCUGAUGCUACAAUUGAUGAAGCAAGCACAAUGGACUCAACACCACUACCUUGUCAAGCGGAGACAGUGAUAAGCAUUGACAACAUAGCAAGUGAUUUCUCGUGGAAACAACAACAAUGCAUAAAAAGUAUUAGCUAAUCAUCAACAGCAUGAAGUGAAAUAAAGGUUUGGGGAUGCUUAGUGUUAGAGUGAGAUGCAAGUCGUGUAACUUCAAUCUCUGUUUAUGUUAUUGUUUACUUUGCUUUAUAAAAACCAAGCUGGAUUUUAUCAAGAAAACUUUUAAAAAUUGAUUUAUUAUUGUUUACUUUACUUUCUUAAAAUAAUCUUUAAGCCCUUAUGUAUUGACUCCUACCAUCAACUGAACGUUAAAGAUAAAACCAUAAAAGAAGAAAACAAGAAAACCGUUAUACAUAC